CUUGUUUUACAUUGAUUUGUUGGACGUACAUUGUUUUACAUUGCUCAAUGAUGUUUAAUGUUCUUCUAAAUUGUUCUAUGUACUCUGCGUUUAUAC